CUGGAAGCGGGAGCACAUGGACCACAGUGAGUCCGCAGAGAGAGGUCUGUGAGAACUCCUGACAUCCGAAGCUUGACUACCACGUUUCCAUAGCAACGGGAAAAAGAAAAGAAAAAGAGAAAAAAACAACCAUCCAAAUCUGAAGAUUGCAGUUUACAGCUCUCGAACUUCACAACUAGGCCUCAAUUGUUCCAGAUUUUUGUUUUCUUUGCGAUACCACUGGGUCUGUUCUUCACCAUUCUGGCAGAAUCUUCCUUCUCCUUUAGCGGAAUCUUCUUAAAUUUCCCCUGAACGUGAAAGAUCAUGGCGUAUAACUUGACCUUCUGGGAGCAGGGAGCAGGAACAAUGACUACUUUUUCUGAUGUGUUGCCAUGUUGCUAGUCAGCUUUCCACACAUACAGCUUCGUCUGUGGGAAAGGAUUGCAACCAAUUUUUCACUGCCAUCCUAUGCCGUGAUCCUCAGAAAAAGCGGAGAGGAGCAGAGCAGCAAACGUUACCAUCGAACGCCAAGAAAAGGGCUCAAAUAUUAUCUCGUGGGCAUCUGUCUGCAUUUGUACGUGUCCGGAAUCCAGUCCCACGGAUUCUUACGAGGACGCGGAUCACGGCGGAGAAUCUCUCUCUCCCCGAUGUACGUACAAUUGCACGUCUCAUGGUGGGGGUCCUACGUGCACGGGAGGCAGUCAGCAGGAACCGCGUGUAUACACAUAUAUGCCCACAUGUAUAGACAUACCUUUAUGCACAUACACACUGUUUGUUUCAUAAUACAGGCGUAAAAUAGACUAAACACAGGUAGUUUUAAAAGUACCCUUUUGUGUGAACCGACUACCGUUGUUUGCAAACCUGAAAAUAAAAGAUGUUCAUUAUGUAUGAGAAGUAAUUGA
rnacentral:lncRNA from 1 species